UCCGGGUUGGUCCCGGCCGUCCCGCUAGAGAACCAACUAGCGGCGGGGGUUGCGCUCGUUGCGGGACUUAACCCAACACCUCACGGCACGAGCUGACGACAGCCAUGCAGCACCUGUCUGGCACGCCUCGCGGCCGACGGCUUUCGCCGCCUGUAAGCCAGGUGUCAAGCCCUGGUAAGGUUCUGCGCGUCGCAUCGAAUUAAACCACACGCUCCGCUGCUUGUGCGGGCCCCCGUCAAUUCCUUUGAGUUUCAAUCUUGCGAUCGUACUCCCCAGGUGGAUUACUUAAUACUUUCACAUAGACCCCAACAGUGUAUCGCUGAGAUCGAGUAAUCAUCGUUUAGGGCGUGGACUAC
rnacentral:misc_RNA from 1 species